rnacentral:rRNA from 1 species
AUGACUGAACAUGUUGAGGAUUCAGAGUCAAGUGUAGAUUGGAGGCGAAACAAUAAUCAACUAAAUAUACAAAAAUUUACUAAUGUCGAGGGAUUGAAGUACAGCAUGGAGUGGAGGAGAAGUUUGGGAGGAGAGAGGAGGGACCUGGUCGACGGCGUCUGGUUCGUCCUUGCAGGAGGCGGCAACGGCCUUCUUGGCGCGCAGGACCUAGUUGAAGGAGGCGCCGGCGACAAGUCGUCCGUGCGCGAGGCCGCCAGGCCCCAUGAGGCAGGGAGCCCGCGGAGGAGGGAGCCACCGGCGCCGGCACCGCGGAGGGAGGGGGCCAUGAGCCCCACGAGGCAGGGGGCCUGCACAGUGAGCCGCCGGCGCCGACGCCACUGA